rnacentral:rRNA from 1 species
ACUGCUCAGUAACACGUGGACAACCUACCCUGAAGAGGGGGAUAACCCCGGGAAACUGGGGAUAAUACCCCAUAGACUAUGGAUGCUGGAAUGCUCUGUAGUUCAAAGGUCCGCCGCUUCAGGAUGGGUCUGCGGCCGAUUAGGUUGUUGUUGGGGUAACGGCCCAACAAGCCUGUAAUCGGUACGGGUUGUGGGAGCAAGAGCCCGGAGAUGGAUUCUGAGACACGAAUCCAGGCCCUACGGGGCGCAGCAGGCGCGAAAACUUUGCAAUGCGAGAAAUCGUGACAAGGGAACUCCGAGUGCCUGUAAAAUCAGGCUGUCCGCCAGUGUAAACAACUGGUGAAGAAAGGGCCGGGCAAGACCGGUGCCAGCCGCCGCGGUAAUACCGGCGGCUCGAGUGGUGGCCACUAUUACUGGGCUUAAAGCGUUCGUAGCUGGUCUGUUAAGUCUCUGGGGAAAUCUUCCGGCUUAACCGGAAGGCGUCUCAGGGAUACUGGCAGACUAGGGACCGGAAGAGGUGAGAGGUACUCCAGGGGUAGGAGUGAAAUCCUGUAAUCCUUGGGGGACCACCUGUGGCGAAGGCGUCUCACCAGGACGGCUCCGACAGUGAGGAACGAAAGCUGGGGGAGCAAACCGGAUUAGAUACCCGGGUAGUCCCAGCUGUAAACGAUGCGCGUUAGGUGUAUCGGUGACCACGAGUCACCGAGGUGCCGAAGAGAAAUCGUGAAACGCGCCGCCUGGGGAAGUACGGUCGCAAGGCUGAAACUUAAAGGAAUUGGCGGGGGAGCAC